rnacentral:lncRNA from 1 species
CCUGAGUAAAAUUGGAAAUGGAUUGGGGAAGCUCAUUCAUGCGGAUGCCUACAUAGCUGUGACGGAUCCUAAGGACAUCAUCAUUGAAUUUCAUCUUCACUUGGGGAUUACUUCCUUUCUCUAGGUUCAUUCUCUCCAUUCUUCGUUGUAUGCAGCCCCAUAAAGUGGCUACCACCCUCUCUUCUUGGAGAUCAUUUACCCUUUCGCGGAAGUGUAAGACCAUGAAUCUCUCGUGGAAAGGCCCAUUCGCAGCAACGCACUCUGGUAGUUCAUUCGCUAUCAUAACAACUGGAACAUUCUUUUUCUUCCAUAUACUUUUCUUUCUAUUAGGGUUCCUGCUUCCAUUAGUUUGAGGACUUGUAUGUCCUCAUAGGAGCCCUUCAUGCUCGGGUACCUUUGUAGAACAAUAUGCUUCAGCUGUUCGUGCCUGAACACUUAAAUCUCUCGUGUGACCUCAUAUGCUCG